CUCGACGUAGCCAAGUGGUCGAAGGCGGCGGCUUGCAAAGCCGUUGACGAAAGUCCGCAUCCGUUCGAAUCGGAUCGUCGAGUCCA
rnacentral:tRNA from 1 species